rnacentral:rRNA from 1 species
UACAGAGGGUGCAAGCGUUGUUCGGAAUUAUUGGGCGUAAAGGGAGUGUAGGCGGUCUGGAAAGUCUUCUGUGAAAUCUACGGGCUUAGCCUGUAACGUGCAGAGGAAACUACCAGGCUUGAGUGUCGGAGAGGAUAGGGGAAUACCCAGUGUAGAGGUGAAAUUCGUAGAGAUUGGGUGGAACACCAGUGGCGAAGGCGCCUAUCUGGCUGACAACUGACGCUGAGACUCGAAAGCAUGGGGAGCAAACAGG